CGGCAGGCAAACGCACAAAAGAAGCAAAGAAAACAAAGGAGACGAAAUGGAAAGAGAGCCACAGAAGACGAAGCCGCCGAGGAGGGACGAGCAACUGAAUUAGGACGAAAGCAACGGAACCGAACGGGGGGAGAGGAGGUGGACGACGACGACGACGUCGUAGCAGCAGGCCAGCACAGCAGCUGGAGGAGAAGGAACGAGGAGGGAUCUACGAGAGUUGGAGGAGGGGGGACAGGACGAGCAAAGGCGGACGGAGGGCCCGGUCGCAUGGAGGCGGCGAUGGAUCUGAUGCGGCGGAUGCCGCCGGCCAGCGCCGAGACGGCGCUCAACGCGCUGCUCUCCCUCCUCCCCGACCACUCGCUCGACCUCCUCUCCCAGGUCGACCUCCCGCUCCAGGUUUGCAUGGAUAAAGAGAAUUUGAAGGAAUACAUUCUAUGCGAGUAUAACCGUGAUGCUGACUCCUAUCGAUCACCUUGGUCAAACAAAUAUGACCCUCCUUUGGAAGAUGGUACAGUUCCCUCUGAAGAGAUGAGGAAUCUUGAGAUUGAGGCAAAUGAAGUUUUCUCUGACUAUCGUGACCAGUACUAUGAAGGUGGGAUUUCAUCUGUGUACGUUUGGGAGGAUGAAGAUAAUGGUGGUUUUAUUGCAUGUUUCUUAAUUAAGAAAGAUGGAAAAGGAACACGAGGGUACAUGCAGAUUGGUUCAUGGGAUGCCAUUCAUGUUAUUCAGGUUGGUCCUGAAAAAGAAGGAGCAGCACAUUACUGCUUGAACAGCACUGUGAUGCUGUCAUUGACAACUGACAACAAACAGUCUGGAACUUUCAACUUGUCUGGAUCGAUUAGACGGCAGAUGAGUAUGACUCUUGCUGUAGCAGAUGGGCACCUCGUUAAUAUGGGGAAAAUGAUAGAAGAAAUGGAGGGGAAGCUGAGAAAUUCACUGGACCAGGUCUAUUUCGGGAAGACGAGAGAAAUGGUUUGCACUCUUCGGCCGCCACCGGAAGUGCUUAAUAUGAGACUACCCGAUAGCUGAACUAGUGAAUAGUACUGUCAAUUUAACAAAGAAAGAUGUCAUGUCUUCACUAUUAUUUCGCUCUACGUGCAAAGUUUCACCGGAAGUGUUGUAUUUGCCUUCUACUCUGGAUGGGGAAGAACUGUGUUACCGUUUCUGAAGCUGUAGCGGCGCAAGUGCCCCGGGGUCAAGCUCUGUCGACCACGCCCCAAGAUAGCCGCCGGCUGCCAGGUUUUACCAUUGCAGCUGGUUUGGGACUUUGGAUUCGAUGAUGUGUUGGAUGAAAGGUUCAGCGACAGCAGUCCACAGGCAUAUACAAGCCGAUCGACCUGCCUCGGCGGCUCGGCCUACCUGGAAACAGUUGUGAACUUGUGAUCAAGCAUGCCUCUGUUGGGCUGCUGAGACCAAGCAUGAGGUUCACGGAAAGAUUAUUGGUGUCUGUUGCUCUAUUCUGAUAAACACAAGCAGCAGCAUUAGACAGCUACAAUAAACAUCGCUAUCGCGUCAAAUCAUCUUCCAAUGGUGGACGCAAUACGCUCUGACCAAAUAUUAUACCAGCAGUUCACAAGGUUCAGCCGAAAACUACAACAGCAAGACUGGUUUUCUUUACUUCAUAUGCAGUGACUAGUGAGUGAUCGAUCCAUCCUCCAGAUUUUACACCAAAAAUCUAAGGAAACAUCUAGUCUAGCUGGAUAUCAUGCGUGGUCACCGAUGUUGUCAAGCAAACUCAUUUGCUUCUUCAUGGUUUAGCUUCCUCUGCAGCGGCUGCUGCUGGAGCUGCUUCCUCCUCCACCUUGCUCUCCUUAGCACCUUCAUCUGCAUUUUUGUUUUCCAUAAAACAAGAUCAGUUCAGUAUAGUGUCAUGAAAACUCACAAGAAAAUCUAGCCAGUCAGGAUUGAAAUGGUCUUCAAGGGAAAGACAAUUUGGACUGAGAACUCCACAACAUGUUUGCAUACUAAUCAACACUUUGACAUCCAAGACCCUAACUUCGACCAUAGAGCUCUGUGAAGACUUAAGACUGGCACAGUCUUGCCUAAGAAUCAACACGCGGUAAAUGACUGGGUCUACCAACUCCAAAUGUGGCACCGUCAAGAACAGAUUGACAGCACGAUUAGGAUAUCGUUGUCAAUUUUUUAUUAGCAGCCACAAGAAGUCAAUAACAGAGUGACAACGAAAGCGAGUUCUAGCUGCUGUCUUUAUUUGCUGACAGGAUGAUAUGCAAGCUAUUGAGAAAUUGUAUGUUGUUAUUGAUGUCAUACUGAAGGGCUCAACUGUAGACUACUCUGUCAGUAAAGAUUGCAAGGCCUUGCAGACUA